rnacentral:lncRNA from 1 species
AUUAAUGUAAUCUGUUCCUUUCAUUCCAGGCAAUGGUGCAAGACCCACUCGAGCACGCUCGGCUAUGGUAUGGAAACAAAACAAAAACGCCACGUUUGCCUUAUUAUACACACAGAACACAUAGUGCUUUCUGAGAUUCACUCGGUGUGUCACCUAUUCCCCUGGAUCCCCUUUCAGGUUAAAACUUACCUAUAUUUUUAACUAAGCUCAAGUGUUCUCCGCUAAGGAGAAUGUCAAUGGAAUUUUGCUGCACAGUCCCAGGAGGGCAGAGGCAACAUAGGAAUCAAAUUUUACUGUCGGAGAGGUUUUCACAGCAGAGCAUGAAAAGAACACUCUGUGCAGAGAUGACACGAUUUCAGGUAAUUUUUAGCCCCGGUUUGAUAUUCUUUCCAUUAUACCCACACGUUGUACUUCUGCUGUUUUGCCAUAGCCUUAUCCGUAUCUUUCUCCUGGCAAAGGGCUUAGAAAACAGUGGCCUUUGUCAAGGAAAGAUCAUCUUUCCAGCGAUCAGCCACGCCUGUGUCUCAGCACACACAUAGCAUCCUCUGCCGUGUCCCAAGCUAUGGAUACAAAGGGCCCCGUCUGCAUAGUGCCUUGACCUCAAUAGCC